rnacentral:rRNA from 1 species
GAUGAACGCUAGCGACAGGCCUAACACAUGCAAGUCGAGGGGCAGCACAUGAGUAGCAAUACGAUGGUGGCGACCGGCGCACGGGUGAGUAACACGUAUGCAACCUGCCUUCUACUGUGGGAUAACCCGUUGAAAGACGGACUAAUACCGGAUAAUACAGGGGCUCCGCAUGGAGAUAUUUGUUAAAGAUUUAUUGGUAGAAGAUGGGCAUGCGUAGGAUUAGAUAGUUGGUGAGGUAACGGCUAACCAAGUCAACGAUCAUUAGGAGUUCUGAGAUGAAGGUCCCCCACACUGGUACUGAGACACGGACCAGACUCCUACGGGAGGCAGCAGUGAUGAAUCUUGGUCAAUGGACGAGAGUCUGAACCAGCCAAGUCGCGUGAAGGAAGACGGUUCUAUGAAUUGUAAACUUCUUUUGUGCAGGAAUAAAGUGGUCUACGUGUAACCUUUUGUAUGUACUGUACGAAUAAGGAUCGGCUAACUCCGUGCCAGCCGCCGCAGUAACAC